rnacentral:rRNA from 1 species
GACGAACGCUGGCGGCGUGCUUAACACAUGCAAGUCGAACGGAAAGGCCCCUUCGGGGGUACUCGAGUGGCGAACGGGUGAGUAACACGUGAGUAACCUGCCCUUGACUUCGGGAUAACUUCAGGAAACUGGGGCUAAUACCGGAUAGGAAUCCUUGCUGCAUGGAGGGGGUUGGAAAGCUUUGGCGGUUUUGGAUGGACUCGCGGCUUAUCAGCUUGUUGGUGGGGGAGUGGCUUACCAAGGCUUUGACGGGGAGCCGGCCUGGGGGGGGGAACGGCCAAAGUGGGACUGGGGAUAGGCCCAGGCUCCUACGGGGGGGAGGAGGGGGGAAUAUUGCAAAAUGGGCGGGAGCCCUAUGCAGCAACGCCGCGGGCGGGAUGACGGGCUUCGGGUUGUAAACCGCUUUCAGCAGGGGCGAAGCUUGUGGUGACGGUACCUGCAGAAGAAGCACCGGCUAACUACGUG